CGCCCGGUAGUUCAGUGGUUAGAGCGCUGGCUUGACAAGCCAGAGGACCGGGGUUGGAUUCCCCGGCUGGGUGG
rnacentral:tRNA from 1 species